UUAAUAUGAGAGUUUGAUCUUGGCUCAGGAUGAACGCUGGCGGCGUGCCUAAUACAUGCAAGUCGAACGAACUUCCGUUAAUUGAUCAGGACGUGCUUGCACUGAAUGAGAUUUUAACACGAAGUGAGUGGCGGACGGGUGAGUAACACGUGGGUAACCUGCCCAGAAGCAGGGGAUAACACCUGGAAACAGAUGCUAAUACCGUAUAACAGAGAAAAC
rnacentral:rRNA from 1 species